rnacentral:rRNA from 1 species
UACGAAGGGGGCUAGCGUUGCUCGGAAUGACUGGGCGUAAAGGGCGCGUAGGCGGUUUGUACAGUCAGGUGUGAAAUUCCCGGGCUCAACCUGGGGGCUGCACUUGAUACGUAUGGACUGGAGUGGGGAAGAGGGUCGUGGAAUUCCCAGUGUAGAGGUGAAAUUCGUAGAUAUUGGGAAGAACACCGGUGGCGAAGGCGGCGACCUGGUCCUUGACUGACGCUGAGGCACGAAAGUGUGGGGAUCAA